AUGUGACCCCAACCCCGCCUCCCUCCGCCCCAUGAUGUCAGAAAAAACACGACAGGGAAAAUUCACCGCAGCCAAGAAAAAGUUAAAAGAAUAUUGGCAGAGGAAGAGCCCUGUGUUCCAGUAGGAGCUAACAGGAAAAGAAAAUCAAUGGCAGUAGCCCUGACACAGCCGCUUCUGGUGGUUACCGCUCACCUGGGAUGUGAUCAGCAACAGGUGUCUAUGGGGAGGGGCCUGUGUCAUCUAUUACCCUGAAAGAUCUGCAAAGCCAGUACCAAGAACUAGCAGGAGCCCCGCACUCAAAGCUCUGCAGUUAUCAGUCAACUCAUUGGAAACAUCAAUUCACUGGGAAGAGUUCACACAUUGAAGGAGGAGAAGAAGCAUGAGAUAUAUCGGGUACAGAAGCUUGGGAGGAGCUUGUUCAAACUCAAACACCAGAGGGCUGAAUCCUGGGCCCCAGAUCCACCAGCGGGGCCCUCUGAGGUGGAGCAGCUACAAGAUGAGACCAAACACCUAAGGAAGGAGCUGGAGAGCCUGGGAAGACAGCUCCAGGCCGAGGUGGAAAACAAUCAGAUGUUGAAUCUCCUGAAUAGGAGACAGGAGGAGAGGCUGCGUGAGCAGGAGGAGAGGAUACGUGAGCAGGAGGAGAAGCUACAUGAGCAGGAGGAGAGGCUAUCUGGGCAGGAGAAGAGGAUACAUGAGCAGGAGGAGAGGCUAUGGGAGCAGGAGUGGCUGCCAGAGCAGGAGAGGCUGCUGGAGGAGGUGAAGAAGUUGGAACGGGAGAGACGGGAGGAGGAGGAGGAGAAGCUGCUAGAGCAUGAGAGGCUGCUGAACCAGGUAGAGAAGCUGCUGGAAGAGGAGAGGCUGCGGGAGCAGGAUGAGAGGCUGCGGGAGGAGGAGAGGCUGCCAGAGCAGGAGAGGCUGUUGGAGCAGGUGGAGAAGCUAUUGGAACAGGAGAGGUGGCAGGAGGAACAGGAGAGGCUGCUGGACCAGGGGAGGCUGCUGGACCAGGUGGAGGAACUGUUGGAACAGGAGAGGUUGUGGGAGCAGGAUGAGAGACUGCGGGAGCAGGAGAGGCUGCUGGAGCAGGUGGAGAAGCUUUUGGAACGGGAGAGGCGACAGGAGGAGCAGAAGAGGCUGCUGGAGGAGGAGCAACUGCUGGACCAAGUGGAGGAGCUGCUGGAACAGGAGAGGCUGCGGGAGCAGGAUCAGAGGCUGUGGGAGCAGGAGACACUGCGGGAGCUGGAGAGGCUGCGGGAGCUGGAGAGGAUGCUGGAGCUGGGGUGGGAAGCCCUCUAUGAGCAGCAGGCGUAGCCACACAGCAGCUUGAGGAGCUGGUGGAACAAUGAGAACAAGAGUGCACUGCAGUGGGAGCAGCAAGUAAAGGAGCUGAAGAAGCUGGGUGGAGCCGAAGAGCCAAGAGGCUCAGAGUCUGCAGCAGUAGGGAGACCAGUACCUGUGAGCCCCAAACCCCCAGGAGCCUGGGUGUGCUGACAAGCAGGGUGGACUCCCCAGGAGCACGGAGGCUUGGGCAGCAACCCCUGCAUGCCAUUCUUUCCAGGCUGCCAAGAACAGGGAGAUAAACCAUCACCAUCAUCUAAAAGCUGGUCAAGAAAAAUAAAAAGAAAAAAACUUAAGGGGUUAAUCUCCUACACAAUUCAUUUACUUCAUUUGAAUGUUAGAGCCACUCACGUUUAUUUGUGUUUUUCUAAUUUAUAGUUUAAAUUUAUUUGUAAAAAAUUAAAGGAGAGUGGGUCUUUCCCUCAUGUUCACUCUGACAUCCCUUAGCAUCUUUUUUUUAUGUGAUAACUGUAGGUCAUUAGCAUGCAUAUCGAGUUUGCCCUUAGGUGGUGGGAGUUCAAACACACAAAGACCCACUAUUUGCACAAAAUUGUUCUUGCUGGUUUGGAAUAGGCUGCCAUUUUUUUUUAAUGUUAUUGCAGCAUGUAUAUUUAUUAUGAAAUUCAGAUAAAAUGUGCUUAUGUUCUGCUACUAUGUUUGAUCGACUCCUAAUCACAGUGAGCUCUUCAUUAGUUCAAUAUGUGGUUUGCCCUCAAGUGCGCUGUUUAUUAGUUUGUAAUGUGCCACUGUGAGUACUGACAUUUACAGUUGUUUAGAGAUGGAGCAGUGGAAACAGCCUUUCCCCCUUUUUCUGUGUAUUGGGGAUGGGCGUAAUAACAGUUUGGGGAGCUUUUUAAAUCUCCCAAAAGAGGAAAGUGGCCUGCUCUGGCAGGUGUGUGCAGGAUAGAAUACGUUUCAUUUGUUCUGGUACCAAGAAUGAGCGUGGUACUAUGGUAGUUCUCUUAGGAUUUGUAUGUGCUCUGGGCUCAUGAAGAUAUUACAUCAUGAGCUGGGGCAGUUGCAUUCUUUUUUGAUGGCCUAAAAAGGGGUUAUUUCUGGGGAAUGAAAGGCUCCCAUCAUUGACUGUGGAUGUGGAAAACCUUUCCUAGCUUAGAGCAUUUGUACCUAUAAUACAUUUUAAAGUCAGAGUUCAUGUUCCCUGUUUUAAUCACAUGACUACAUGUCCCAGUACACAAAAGGGCCCUGGUUGGCAUUCUUCUCAAUGUAUUUAGUAAAGGUAAGAAAUCCUUUGAGAGUUUAGAUGUCCCUGAAACAAGCAUAUAGGCUCUAGUCAAGAAUGAAUUCGAGUGAAGGAAAGCCGUGUGACACCUGGCAUUCCUCUCUGUUCAUGGAGCUUCUUUGAGGCUAGAAGAUUGAUUUUACCAUCUAAAACUCUCUGAUUAAUACCUAGUCUUCAACCACAUUGGCUACUUUGACAUAGGAAUUUACUUCUUUUCCUUGAAUGGAAAACACUUUAAAAAUAAUAACAAACGUUAUUAUAAAUGAAUAUAUGCAAGAGUACUUAGUUGAAACGAAAAGGAGUUUUAGUAGACAGUAUUAUACUACAUUUGAAAAUCAAGUUUAUGCGACUUAAAAUGUUUACAAAGUGCAGUGCAAUCUACUGUUUGUGAGUGUCAAAGUGUUAUAAGGAAAGUGUCUAUACAAUCACAGAGUCAUAUUUCCCCACAGAGUUCUUUACAAAGAGUGAAAUAUGUUCUUAUACCUUUCAGUUUCAGUUAGAGGCAUACUUUGUGCAAUAUUUAUGUGAAUGUGCCUAUACAUUAUGAAUUAUUUCAGUCAUAUGUUGCCUAAAUCAUAACUUGAUGAUGCUUGGGAAAGAAUCAACAGUUAAAACCUCAUGAAGUUCUGAUGUCUGUGUUCCAAAAUACAUCACAGUCACGUUAUUAAGAUGUAGGGAGAAAGGUAUGUGCGCUCCCUGGGGUGGGCAUUUCUGAUUACCUCCAUCUGGCAUCCUCAUGUUACUUUUAGAAAUAUGACUUUAAUAGGAAAGCAAUAUAAUUUUACAGAUAAAGUAACAGAUUUGCCUGAAUUCACAGAAAAAAAGUGCAAAUAUUGGGUCCUCGUGACUUCAACUGGCUCUUCCAAAUUGUAUGAAUUUAUUAAUGUAUUAGAUAAACCCAGUUUCAGAAUUAUAAAGAAAAAAUGUUAGACCACAUAAUGUGGCUAAUUAACAGUGGUACGAUUUCUAGCCCAAGCAUUUAAAAUGGACUUAAAGUCCUGUUCUUGCUUUUUCUUUCUGAACUUGCUGCUUUUGCAUUCUUUGAGUUCAGUUUAAAGGCAGUUACUUUAAGUCCAUUUUAAACUCUCAGGCUAGAAAUCGUACCACUGUUAAUUAGCCACAUUAUUUGGUCUAACAUUUUUCCUUUACAAUUCUGAAACUGGGUUUAUCUAACACAUUGAUAAAUUAUUUCAAAGGUAUUUUUAUAGUUCAAAUCACUUCACUUUUACCCUGACAUAUAUAAAUGACUAGGAAUGACCUUCAGAUCGUGUUUAGCAUCUGUAACCAAUCUGACAAUAAUGCGUUCAUCAGGUACCUAUGGAUUAAAUCAUAUACUGGCAUAUUUAAGCUGAAUGUCAGUCUGGAAAUAAAUUUACCAUAUUAACUGAAA